ensembl:lncRNA
CAUGAAGAUUCUUAAUGAAUGAAAUUUCAUGAGGGGUUCUACUAUUAUUACAAAUUAAAGCUUGAAAAACAGCAUAGGACACCUCACCCACUGAAGCAAAGCAGGAGUUUUUGCUGCUCAGCACAGUUGCACUUAUUCAGACAUGGGCCAGAACCUUCAGCAAGUCAGGAAUGGCAAAUACUCCAAAUAAGCUGAAAUGGUGGAUCAAGGGCCUCAGGAUUCCAUGCUUUCUCUGCUGUACUUUGCCUGUUAGUCCUGAUGUAGGCAGUGUGUCCAGGUGCAGCUAUCACCUCCCACCAGCAGCAGCUGUGUGCAGUGUGCUUUGCCACAAGACUUUGAUUCCUGUGGAAGAGGAAGAAAAGUUUAUCCUAUUCCAUAAAAAGUUUAACAUUUAAUAUUUUAAUUUUACAGGUUUAUGUUCACAGAUAGUUCUAGAAAUAUCUCAGGGCAAUUUCUUCUAAAGUAGAUUCAUUAAGGAUUCAUUUAAAUAAAAUGAAGAGUUUCCUUUGAGGGCAAUUUCUUUACCUUUUAUUUGGUAUUCAUGAACACUGAUAUGGGAACAGUAUGUUUUCAAGAAUGACAGUGGAAGAGGAAUAUUUUAUACAAGAAUCUGAAGUUGUGCCUACCCAGGCAGCUGUGGGCAGGCCUGCUCUUGGCUCAGUGACAGCUGGAGCCAAAUUACCCUCAUGCUUUUUUUAUGUGAGCAGUUAUCAGCAUGCACCUAUAAGAAAUAUUGGACUAGGUAAUAUAUAUGUCACAGAUACCUUAUAGUCAGUAACUGCUCCAUAAACAGUUGAAUAAAACUUCUCAUUACAAGAAUUGAAUGGUAAAUCUGCUUUGGCAAGGAAAAAUCCAACAAUCUCAUUUUUGGCUUGACUUGUAUGUAAUGCAAACAGUUUCCAAAGUAAAUUUUUAAAAAUGAAGUAUUAGUCCAUUUGUGACAGGAACUUUCAUCUUUGCAUUUGAGUAGAAGGAAAUUAAUAUCAUAAUAAUAUAUUAUUAUUAAUUAGUUCCUUAGUUGUUUCAGGCAACUAAGAAUACAAUCACAUAUCCUAUGUAGUUUGGUGGUCUGUGUCAUGGGAAUGAAACAUAUUUUCAGGAGGUGACAGAAAGAUGACACUGACCCCAUUAUUAUCUGUUGUGUUGGCUGGUGGCUACAGAAGAUUUUCAAGAAAGAAGAAGAUAAAACUAUUUAUUAUGUACAACAGAGGUCUGGGAGAAAGAAAACAGACAGAUUACUGCCCUCCAAUUUGGCUCCUACAACAGCACUGAAAACUCAACAUCUCGGGAACCCCAUCUUUAUACAGGAAUGUAUCAUCCCGUGUUGGCUCUCAGGGCAGUCCUUUCAGUAAUGUACCUUCUGCUCCUUCCACCUGCACUCUGCAGCAAUGUGUGGCUCAUUGUGCCUGAGGAGAGUUUGAACACAAACCCAGCCUGGCAGCCUCUAGAAGCAGUUGUUUUGUGGUGUAACAAUCUACUGUGGGCCUGAGUUUUAUUAUUUUAAGGACAGUAAAUCAUGAUCAUCAUGUUAGUGUCUAAUAAUCUAGGGGAUACUUCACUUUGUGAAUGCCCAGAUAAAUCCUACCCGUGGCCUACAGGUAAAAUUUUGAUUCAACAGGUAUCAAAAUACAAAUGAAAGCUUCAAUUACAUCCCAACCUAACUUCAAGCAUUGCUUAAUGUGUCUUAUACUUCCAUUUAUCUAUACACUGGAGCUCACCCCAAAUGCCCCAAGAUCUCAUCUCUGUCAAGAGGUCUCAUCUCUUCUGAGUCAGAAUUACCAUUUCUGUGUGAACUAUGGCAUAUGCAGAGAACUUGGCCAAUAGAGGGAAAGGAUAAAAAUUAACUGAAUUAGAAUUACAGGGAGGCAGCACUGCAGAAUUUACUAAUUUGUUUGGUGUCUAGCUGGAGUACUUUAUUUCCCGAUAGCCAAUAUUUUGGAGAAAAAAUAUUAUUGUUCCUUGGAAAGUUUCUGGAAGAAAUAUGUCUAAUUGAAAGAAAAAAUCUCAUUGAAAAUAUUUCAGCAGCAGUCCUCCAAAGAAAACACUGACCAGGACUCUGAGAGGCUCAUUUCCCAAGAGAAUUUGUUUGGCAGCCCAGGAACGCAGUGCACAUAAAUGUAAGCACCUCUUGUUUACUGAGAGGCUUUGUCUUCUCUGAAACAGAAUGCACAGAUUUACAAAGAUUUACAAAUUUAUGAAGUAGCGCAUAAUGCGACAUCAACAACAAAAAAAUCUAUUUACCUUUAUUUCCAGCAGAUGCACUGCAGACACUCUGCAGAACCUGCACUGCUUCCAUGCCUGCCUGUGUGUUUUGGAGGCUCAUCCCAGAUCUUAUAAACUCAGUGUAGCUUUCUUUCCCCACCACUGAUCCAAGAGAAACAAAACCUAUUCAGUGUGGAAACCUCCACACCAGACUGAAAUCCCACAUGCUUCCCUAUGCAUUUAUCUCCAUAUGAACCAUCUGGUGUUCAGUAAGACCUUCCUCGUCUCAGGCAUUAGGUUUGCUUAUCUGCAUUUCACCUGGGGGCUCAAACUGUGAAAGGCAAUUUGUAGAGCUGAAAGCACCCAACUGUUUCCAACAAUCCAGCUUUACAUAAUGGAGCUGUCACCUGGAGAGUGCCUGUUCACACCAUGGCACAUCACACACCAUUCUCCUUGUGUGGUCCCACACUGACACAGCCUCUGUGACACCCAGGGGGUGGGGCUGGGCUGUAAGUGUUUUGUGCAAAGCCUGGAUACCAAGUCAAGCUCUGUAGAGUGAGAGGACAUCCUGCCUUGUUGAUAAAAAGGAACUUCACUAUGCCCACUGGGACCCCUUCUUCUGCAACCAGUCCCAGUUCAGCUGAAGGUGACCCAUGAGCCUCUUGUGGCAGCUGCAGAACUUCCUUCCCCCUGAGGGAAAUAAACAGCUCUGGACUUUCCUAAUUUCCUAGAAUAAGGAACCAUGUCACUCUUGCACGGCAGAAAUAGCAGCAGGACAUCCGUUUCUGGCUGACAAUGACAAGGCCACCUGCACUUAUGGGAGCCCCUUUUCCCACCCAUCAUUCCUCAUAGCCUGGCAAAUGCAAGUGAAUAACCUGAACUCCAGGUUCUUCUCCACAGACUCAGUCACCAUUCAGACUGAGGCAGACUUCUUUUAUGACGCUGAGACUUUGUUAAACUCAAAUGGCUCCCGAAGCCAAGUCUUCAGGAACAUCAUAAGUGUCAUAAUACUUUCAUUUGGCCUUGAUAUCAUGAAGCUGUCACCAUAACAAGCCUUGAGUGCUGUGAGUCUCUGCCAUCAAGGUGUUAAGGGAUCAUUAGCAAGCAACACCACACGGGAGCCAUGGGCAGCCACAGGUAAUGCACUGUGGCUGCUUUCCCCAGCACUUACUUCUUGAGGAGCAGUGGUACUAUGGUGGAUUGAUAUUGGUGGUGGGUAAAUGUAAUAAAAUGUUUGUGCAGCAGGGUGUGAUUUCUCACCUUUAUUUCCUGCAAACUUGAUGGGAAAGUCUUUAUAAAUAAUUCUGGCUUUGUCAAUUUAAAGUAUGGAUUAAAAUUUACUAUAUAUGUUUUCAAAUUUUAAUGUGUUUCUUUCCCCACACCCCCCACACCCCCCCCCCCCAACCAAAGAAUUCAAUUUUAGUUUUGCAGAUGCUAUUCUUGUUUCUGUGAUAAUGAUGGCUAAUGCAAAAGCAUUGGUGCUGCAAAUGGAUGCAAUUGGAUGCAAAAGAAAGGAAUUAAGAUUAUAUUGUCAGUGUUGUAUUAUUCCAUUCUUACAUAUAUAUUUUGAGGAGAUUCAAACUCAAAGUGAGACCACACAACUAUCAUUUUUAUACCCCUGCUGACAUUGUAUAAUACACCCCAGGACAUAAUUUAGAAGCUCACUCUGCUGAGACUAUUCAUGUACAUAACUCAGAUUAAGGGUCUAAGUUCCUUUACAGUUAAUACGCAUAUGAAUAUGUAUUUGCAGGUUUGGGGCAUUAGCUGAUAGUUAGCUGACAAUUCAGCUAUAGCAAAAAUACAGCUAAUCAGACAGGGAAAAAAAAGAAAUUUCCUGAACAAUGAGCUAUUUCUCUUUGUCUCAUUGACCUUAUUUUCAGCUGAUUUUUCUCAGACUAUGUGAUUGAUGAGAAUGAUGCUAAAGCCUGCCUAACCAAUAAAAUAAACACAAUAGUGGAAUAUGAAAUCUACAUUUUCCAUCAGAAACUAAGCAUUUCCCAAAAUGGUUUUUAAGAAAUCUCAGUGCUGAAUGUUUUACAUUUUCCUUUCUGUUUCACCAUCAGCCAACGCACUAUUUCUAUCUGAUUGUAUAAUAAUAUUUAUGUAGAGUUUCACUGAUCUGUGCAAACAUCAGCAAAUGGAUUUUGCAUCCUUUGUUGCUUUUUAAGUUUUAUAAGCCUCUUUCCAGUAUAUACCCAUCUCCUGUUUUAAAGAUCACAAAGAGAAAUAUAUCACAUCCAAAAGUACUAUUCAAUUAUGCAAACCUCACUACAAGCUUAGAUUGAAAGUAUACGACCAUUUACACAAACCCGGGGUGUUAUUUCUUGAGACUGUUUAUAUGGCCCAAGUGACCCUGAUAUGGUGCUACAUACAAUAUUAGAUUCUUUUGGUUUUAGGAAAAAAAAAAGAGUCCAGCUGUGAAACUCCUUGAAACAGUGCACUGUAGUGUAUUUGCAAUUUACAGAGCAAGGCAAAAAAUCUGAUGACCACAGACAGUACUCAGCUCCUGGCUGACCUUCUCCCAUGGGGCAGCAGCCCUUGGUGUACCCUGACAGACCAAGUGUUCAGUGCCCUGUAUACUUGAUGAAAGGCAAUUAUAGUCAAGUCAUUAACAUCCCAAAAUUUGAAAUGUCACCAUUUUCUGUCUGGUUUCAUUGGUCUAAAGAAAAAAAACACCACCAAGCGGUAGCCUAAUAUAAAACACAAAAGAAGCCAGUGAUUUCUUAAGGUGCUCAUCAAUGUCUUUCCUCAAAAUACAUCUUUUUGGAGAAGUGGCUCUCAGGAGCUGUGAAGAGCCCUUGGCAGUACGUGGUGCCAUCCUCAUCCCCAUCCCCAGAGUUCACCACUGCUUUCACUCAAGUGGCCUGAAAAGGCAUCUUCAAAAUGGGACUGUGGCAAUUCCCCAGAGGAUGUGUGAUGCUGCAAUCCCUUACUCUCCAUAUUUUCCUGUAUGUGCACUUUCCAAUAGAAUAGAAUAGAACAGAAUAGACCAACAGAAUAGAAUAGAAUACUUUAGUUGGAAGGGACCUACAACAACCAUCUGGACUCUCUAAAAUCUAGAGCACAUUACUAAGGCCACUUCCAAAUGCCUCUUAAAUAUUGACAGGUCUGGGACAUCAACCACCUCUCUAGGAGGCCUAUUGCAGACCUCUUGGUAAAGAAAUGUUUCCUAAUGCCAUUCAUGGAUCUCCCUUGAUGCAACUUUGGACACCAUUCCCAGACCAUAUCUCACUGUAUCCCAGGGAGAAAUGCUUAGUACCUUCCCCUCUACUUUCCCUCCUCAGGAAGCAGUAGAGAACAGUGACAUCCUCCCUUAGCCUCCUUUUCUAGAAACUAGACAAUCAAAAAGUCCUUAUCCAGUUCUAAUAGGAGCUGCCUCACUUCUUGGUACAGUGUGAAAAGGGAGCAGUUUUCUGCAUCUGUAUUCCUCAAACUCCUGCCACCUCCACGUGAAAGGGUGGGCGGGAGGACCACAGCUGAAGGCCUGGGUAUCCAGCUGGGAAUCUUCUCUAAAAUUUGACUCUGUUUGGUUUGAAAUUCUCACAUUGUUUAAGGGUAAUUUUUAAGUGUAGCUCAGCUUUUAAUAGUCACUUAUAUGAGUCUUACUUGACUUGAGAAUGCUUCCAUGACAUGGCAUUGUAAGAAUUGCAGUAAUGGCAUGUUUCAUCCACAGUGCCUGGAGUGCUCACAAAUUCUUCAUGGAAUUGCUGGGAUAUUCCCAUCAUCUCAGAGACUAAAUGAGAUACAAAACUAACAAGGUCUGCCACAGAAUAGAAUAUAAUCAUAGAAUCAUAGAAUAGUUUGGGUUGUUAAGUCAUUUCAUUCCAACUCCCCCUGCUGUGGGCAGGGACACCUUUCCCUAGACUAGGUUGCUCAGAGCCCCAUCCAAUCUGGCCUUGAGCCUUUCCAGGGAUAGAUCAUCCACAGCUUCUCUGGGCAACCUGUGCCAGUUCUUCACAGUAAAGAAUUCCUUCCUAUCUGAUCUGAAAAUUACCCAUCUUCAGUUUUCAGUGGAGGCACUUAACUCUGAAAGAGAAGUUGCCAUUGAAGAUUGAGGGGAAAAAGUUGUUAAGUACCUCAGCCUUCCCUUCAUCCAUUACCAGAUUUCCAGCAUUGCUUAUCAGGGGGAUGAUACUUUAUGUGACAUUCAUUAGUAGAGGUUAGUAAUUUGAAUUGAUUCCAACAUUGUUGCUUGUCUGAAAAUAAACGGUCCUUACAAAAUUAGGGGCAAAAGUAGAAUUCAUUUGACGCCAUGAAACCUGAAGAGGAUAAAGAUCUCAUGUUAUUAAAAGGCCACAAUUAAUACCAACUGAAACCCACUUUUACUUCUGAGACGUAUCUACAAUUGUCAAAUGAGCUCAAAAGUUUUGUAUAACUUUUUGUCAUUUUGCAGA